UCAUUUUGUGCACAGAACGUAAGAACAAAAAAAAAAAAGGGAGACUCCCUUUUCUCUGCUAGGGUUCCAGACCAGGAACCCCGCCGCUGUCGCGCCUCCACUGCUCGGUGGCCGGAGCCAUACGAGGACGCCUCCUCUCGGCGCAUUGAAGCGCAUUCAGAGUUCGAGGCCAUGGAACACGGAAGCAAAGGGAAAGAGAAAAGCUUUGGCCCCUCUCCAAACCCACAUCCGGCGACGGUGAAGCACCAUCAACGGCGGGCCUGAAGGCCGGUUCAGGUGUCAGACGAGGCCGACGGUGGUGGCAGAAGGCAUGCGCGAUGAGGCAUUGGGCAAAGGCGGCGGCUAGCUUGAGGCUAGGGUUUGCUAUGCCUUUCUGCUGAAAAUGUUAAUGCUGUGGGCUAGGUUUUUAAUUUUUGGGCCUGAUUUGGGUUAACGGUUUAUUUUUGUUUUGGGUUGUAUUUGUUUAUUUUUUUGGGCCAGCAAAUUUGGGCUUCUACAAUAGAAAUUUAAUCAUACACAUUUAAAGAAAUAAUUACAUCAAUUUAUUUUUAUA